GAACGACUCUCGGCAACGGAUAUCUCGGCUCUCGCAUCGAUGAAGAACGUAGCGAAAUGCGAUACUUGGUGUGAAUUGCAGAAUCCCGUGAACCAUCGAGUCUUUGAACGCAAGUUGCGCCCGAAGCCUUCUGGCCGAGGGCACGUCUGCCUGGGCGUCACGCA
rnacentral:rRNA from 3 species